rnacentral:rRNA from 1 species
AACGAACGCUGGCGGCAGGCUUAACACAUGCAAGUCGAACGCCCCGCAAGGGGAGUGGCAGACGGGUGAGUAACGCGUGGGAACAUACCCUUUUCUACGGAAUAGCUCUGGGAAACUGGAAUUAAUACCGUAUACGCCCUACGGGGGAAAGAUUUAUCGGGGAAGGAUUGGCCCGCGUUGGAUUAGCUAGUUGGUGGGGUAAAGGCCUACCAAGGCGACGAUCCAUGGCUGGUCUGAGAGGAUGAUCAGCCACAUUGGGACUGAGACACGGCCCAAACUCCUACGGGAGGCAGCAGUGGGGAAUAUUGGACAAUGGGCGCAAGCCUGAUCCAGCCAUGCCGCGUGAGUGAUGAAGGCCUUAGGGUUGUAAAGCUCUUUCACCGAUGAAGAUAAUGACGGUAGUCGGAGAAGAAGCCCCGGCUAACUUCGUGCCAGCAGCCGCGGUAAUAC